UUCCGGUUGAUCCUGCCGGACCUGACUGCUAUCGGAUUGAUACUAAGCCAUGCGAGUCUUUGUAGUAAUACAAGGCAGACGGCUCAGUAACACGUAGUCAAUCUACCCUAUGGACGAGGAUAACCUCGGGAAACUGAGAAUAAUACUCGAUAGAUCAUUAUGCCUGGAAAGGUUUAUGGUCGAAAUGAUUUAUCGCCGUAGGAUGGGACUGCGGUCUAUCAGUUUGUUGGUGAGGUAAUGGCCCACCAAGGCUAUAACAGAUACGGGCUCUGAGAGGGGAAGCCCGGAGAUGGGUACUGAGACACGGACCCAGGCCCUAUGGGGCGCAGCAGGCGAGAAAACUUUGCAAUGUGCGAAAGCACGACAAGGUUAAUCCGAGUGUUUUCUGCUAAGAAAUCUUUUGUCAGUCCUAAAAACACUGAUGAAUAAGGGGUGGGCAAGUUCUGGUGUCAGCCGCCGCGGUAAAACCAGCACCUCAAGUGGUCAGGAGGAUUAUUGGGCCUAAAGCAUCCGUAGCCGGCUCUGUAAGUUUUCCGUUAAAUCUAUACGCUCAACGUAUAGGCUGCCGGGAAUACUGCAUAGCUAGGGAGUGGGAGAGGUAGACGGUACUCGGUAGGAAGGGGUAAAAUCCUUUGAUCUAUUGAUGACCACCUGUGGCGAAGGCGGUCUACUAGAACACGUCCGACGGUGAGGGAUGAAAGCUGGGGGAGCAAACCGGAUUAGAUACCCGGGUAGUCCCAGCUGUAAACUAUGCAAACUCAGUGAUGCACUGGCUUGUGGCCAGUGCAGUGCCGCAGGGAAGCCGUUAAGUUUGCCGCCUGGGAAGUACGUACGCAAGUAUGAAACUUAAAGGAAUUGGCGGGGGAGCACCACAAGGGGUGAAGCCUGCGGUUCAAUUGGAGUCAACGCCGGG
rnacentral:rRNA from 1 species